AGCUUUUGAAAUUGUCUGAGAAUUGAGAAUUUGUGAGAGGGAGAGGGACAGGAUUGGUCACCGAAAUAGGUACGGUCCCCUGAGUGGAAAAUGUGUCCUCGCUCUGAUGUACUCUGAAGAGCUCAGCUCGUGACCAUGGUAGGAAGACACAUCUUGGUUCAGAGUUGUGACUCCAAAGCCAAACGGACCUUCCCCAUUUCUUGAGUGGAAGAGAGAAGAAUAAGGAACUAUCCUUGGGCACAGAUGACACUAUAAUAAGAAAAUCACCCCUGAAAGGCUUGAGAGAGUUGUUUUGUUUGAGGAGUUUUUGUGUCUUUAAAAAAAAAAAAAUCUUUCCACAGAUCAAAACUUCAAAAACCAAGUUAAGGCCUUAGGGCUCAGGUUGUCCCUUAGAAGCUCUCUAUGAACAGGUGGGGGACCUGAGGUCCAGAAAGGGGAAGUCAUAGAGCCAAGGUCAUGGCAAGGUUAAAGGCAGAGCUGAGACAGACCCAGGAACUCCCCUUGCACCUGGGAAGCCCUGCGAUGGAGAGGGAGCACGGAAUCACGUUAGUCAGCUAGGGGGACGGUCUACCUCCUGGGGAAGCACGCCCAGGUCACACAGGAUGCUGGCCAGGGUUCAGCUCUAUAAGGCGGGAGCCAGCAGAGCCCGUGCCCAGGAGUAGCACCCGCAUCUCCGGGAACUGAUUUUUCUCCUGCCUGGGGUUAACCUGGACUUCCCCAGAAGCUGAGGCUGGGGAUUGUCAGCUGAGAAGUAAGGAGGGAGUGCUGUCAGGCAAAGGAGAGGCCUCGGGCUGGAGGAAAAAGGCAAGGGGGGACCCUGGACAGGUCAUUGGGUCUCACUAGGCCUCCACUUCCUCUGCCUUAAAGGGAG
rnacentral:lncRNA from 1 species